GCCAGCAUAGUGUAAUGGUUUGAGUGUUGGACUAUGACUCUGAAGACCAAGGUUUGACUCCCUGUUUGGACA
rnacentral:tRNA from 1 species